rnacentral:rRNA from 1 species
AGUUUCUGUUGGCGCUGAUAUCGCCCGCAUUGAGCCGUACCCGAAACCGACACAGGUGGGAAGGUAGAGUAUACCAAGGCGUUGAGAGAACUAUGGUUAAGGAACUCGGCAAAUUGCACGCGUAACUUCGGGAUAAGCGUGCCCGGUUGUAGCGCAAGCUAUGGCCGGGGGCACAUAAGAGGGGGUGGCAACUGUUUAUCAAAAACACAGGGCUCUGCAAACUCCAAAGAGGAAGUAUAGGGUCUGACGCCUGCCCGGUGCUGGAAGGUUAAGAAAAGCUGUUAACGCAGUGGAUUGAAGCCCCAGUAAACGGCGGCCGUAACGAUAACGGUCCUAAGGUAGCGAAAUUCCUUGUCGGGUAAGUUCCGACCCGCAUGAAUGGCGUAAUGAUCUCCCCACUGUCUCAACCAUAGACUCAGCGAAAUAGAAUUCCUCGUGAAGAUGCGGGGUACCCGCGGCUAGACGGAAAGACCCUAUGAACCUUUACUGUAGCUUUACAGUGGGCUUAGGAAAUGCUUGUGCAGAAUAGGUAGGAGGCGAUGAAGCCAAGGCGUCAGCUUUGGUGGAGCCAACUUUGAGAUACUACCCUGGCAUUUCUUGAGUUCUAACCUCGCACCGAACCGGUGCAGGGACCCUGUAUGGUGGGCAGUUUGACUGGGGCGGUCGCCUCCCAAAGAGUAACGGAGGCGCUCGAAGUUCGGCUCAGGACGGUUGGAAACCGUCUCUCGAGUGUAAUGGCAAAAGCCGGGCUGACUGCAAGAGGGACACCUCGAGCAGGUGGGAAACCAGGACAUAGUGAUCCGGUGGUUCCGCAUGGAAGGGCCAUCGCAAACGGAUAAAAGGUACUCUAGGGAUAACAGGCUGAUCGCAUCCAAGCGUCCAUAGCGACGAUGCGGUUUGGCACCUCGAUGUCGACUCAUCACAUCCUGGGGCUGGAGCAGGUCCCAAGGGUUCGGCUGUUCGCCGAUUAAAGUGGUACGUGAGUUGGGUUCAAAACGUCGUGAGACAGUUUGGUCCCUAUCUACCGUGGGUGUAGGAGUGUUGAGAUGAGUUGCCCUUAGUACGAGAGGACCGGGGCGAACACACCUCUGGUGUAUCUGUUGUGGCGCCAGCCGCAUUGCAGAGUAGCUAUGUGUGGACGGGAUAACCGCUGAAAGCAUCUAAGCGGGAAGCCCCCAUCAAAACAAGCACUCCCAAUAAGACCGUUGUAGACUACGACGUUGAUAGGUCAGGUGUGUAAGUGCAGCAAUGCAUUGAGCUAACUGAUACUAAUGAUCG